rnacentral:rRNA from 1 species
CUACGGGUCGCAGCAGUGAGGAAUAUUGCACAAUGGGGGGAACCCUGAUGCAGCAACGCCGCGUGGAGGAUGACGCAUUUCGGUGUGUAAACUCCUUUUAUAUGUCAAGAAAAUGACGGUAGCAUAUGAAUAAGCACCAGCUAACUCCGUGCCAGCAGCCGCGGUAAUACGGAGGGUGCAAGCGUUACUCGGAAUCACUGGGCGUAAAGGACGCGUAGGCGGGUUGGAAAGUCAGGUGUGAAAUCCUACAGCUUAACUGUAGAACUGCACUUGAAACUUCUAAUCUAGAGUAUGGGAGGGGGAGAUGGAAUUAGUGGUGUAGGGGUAAAAUCCGUAGAUAUCACUAGGAAUACCUAAAGCGAAGGCGAUCUCCUGGAACAUUACUGACGCUAAGGCGUGAAAGCGUGGGGAGCAAACAGGAUUAAAUACCCCCGUAGUC